CUUUCAACAACGGAUCUCUUGGUUCUGGCAUCGAUGAAGAACGCAGCGAAAUGCGAUAAGUAAUGUGAAUUGCAGAAUUCAGUGAAUCAUCGAAUCUUUGAACGCACAUUGCGCCCUCCGGUAUUCCGGGGGG
rnacentral:rRNA from 3 species